rnacentral:rRNA from 1 species
AUUGAACGCUGGCGGCAUGCCUUACACAUGCAAGUCGAACGGUAGCACGGGGCAACCUGGUGGCGAGUGGCGAACGGGUGAGUAAUGCAUCGGAACGUGCCAUUGAGUGGGGGAUAACGUAGCGAAAGUUGCGCUAAUACCGCAUAUUCUGUGAGCAGGAAAGCAGGGGACCGCAAGGCCUUGCGCUCUUUGAGCGGCCGAUGUCAGAUUAGCUAGUUGGUGAGGUAACGGCUUACCAAGGCGACGAUCUGUAGCGGGUCUGAGAGGAUGAUCCGCCACACUGGAACUGAGACACGGUCCAGACUCCUACGGGAGGCAGCAGUGGGGAAUUUUGGACAAUGGGCGCAAGCCUGAUCCAGCCAUGCCGCGUGAGUGAAGAAGGCCU